GAUGAACGCUGGCGGCGUGCCUAAUACAUGCAAGUCGAGCGAAGCGGGGACGGGUGUGUAACGCGUGGAUACCCUCCUAUAAGACUGGGAUCAAUUCGGGACACCGGAGAUUACCCGGAAACUUAUUGAUGGAUCCGCGCUGCAUUAACUAGUUGGUAAGGUAACGGCUUACCACGGCAACGCUGCAUAGCCGACCUGAGAGGGUGUGAGGCAACACGGGAACUGAGACACGGCCCAUAUCCCUACGGGAGGCAGCAUUAGGGAAUUUACCGCAAUGGGCGAAAGCCUGACGGAGCAACGCCGCGGGAGGGAUGAAGUUUUUCGGAUCGUAAAACUCUGUUAUUAGGGAAGCGGUACCUAAUCAGAAAGCCACGGCUAACUACGUGCCAGCAGCCGCGGUAAUAC
rnacentral:rRNA from 1 species